rnacentral:lncRNA from 1 species
UUGCAUGUGGUCUGGUGGAUGAGGGUUGAGUUGUUUAGCCUGCAGCCACGGUGACUCUGCCCUGGAUAAGCUGAGUAAUGAAUGGACAAAAGUUCACCAACACAUUUCUAUCACUAGCCCCAAAGUCCCACUGGAACCAGCCUUUAUUAUUAACUUUAUAAUUACACAAAACAACUCAUUCCUCACUAGCUCUGCACAGUUCCAGCCCGGGUGGUUAAAGACAUUAAAUGACCAUUUAAAUAGUCCUGAAAGCUUGUGUGGGAUAAUCAAUCAUGCCGCCACCAAACAACACUUGAGCUUACAUAAACGCAGCUUUCUCUCUUGCGGCGGAGGCCGAGCUCAGUUCUCUACACCAGGCUUCAAUCACUACACGGCCAAUUAGUUCACAGCUUGAUCUACAUACCUCCCGCAGUUACGAGCCGUUUUUCAUUAGGCUCUUCAUCAUGUCAACAAACAAAAGUUAGAGAAUCAAAGCCUGAUGAUACUCUGCGAAUAGAUCUGAGGAGCAGUUUAACGUCGACAAAAUGAAAAGCUUGAUUAAAUACAGGUGCUAAAAUGAAACAUCCCCAUGCUCAAAGGUUUGUCCUACAUACACUGUGUUGUGCAUAAUGCAACAACUAUCUGAUGGUUUCCAAUGUCACAUAAAUACAAGUCCUUCAAAGUAUUACGAAGAUAGUACUUUUCAAAAGAGUAGGCUAAUCCAUAACCAGUAAUCAAGUUACUUUUUAAAAGUAACUGUGGCAACACCGGUUGGUUGUGACAAAGCCCCUCCUUGAAAGAUGUUUGGUUGCCUCAUUUAGCUGUUGUUAAGUCGAGCCUAAACGGUACUGUUUGUUCCUUUAUGAGAAAACAGCUUCAGUUUUUCCACUGUCGGUCAUUUCAGGACUCCUCCCAGUGCCCGCUGUGAGAGAGAAAGCCGAACAGUUUGGGAUCCGAACCGCAUGUGCAGCCUCAGGCGGAAAGCAGCAUAAGCACCUCACGGCCCGCAGAGAGAGAAUUUACGGACGUCAGAGAAAGCUCUGCGUCAGCUUAAAGUAAACUGACUACCCACCACGAUUGGAAAAAAGGUGACAAGACUGUUUGUGGACUUCUCUGUGACACCCGAGUUUAAGGAGGUUGGGAUCACUGACUCCGGCCAUUUCUCUCUCGUCCUGCAGCAGAGAGACUCGUCCACGCCUUUGUCUCCUCCAGGCUGGACUACUGUAACGCGCUCCUCAUCGGGAUCCCGGGCAAGAGCUUACAAAGGCUCCAACAUGUCCAAAACAGCGCUGCCUGGGUCCUGAUGAGAGUGCGUAAACAUGAGCACAUCACCCCCAUCGUUCACACUCUGCACUGGCUCCCCGUUCACCUCCGCAUUGAAUUCAAAAUCCUCCUUCACACCCAUCAGUAGCCACGGUUACAUGCAGACUUUUUUCUCAUUCGGAUUAUAAUCAUUCCGAUUGAAGCUCCCAGGCGAACUGUUUACAUGGAAGCGAUCUAUUCUGAUCUGGUGUUUACAUGUGCCACGGCAUUCAAUCGGAACAGCUAUUUACAGACACGUGAUACCUUCAAACAUCACGUGAUUGAUUGAUCACGUGAUCUCCGACGCAGACCAGUGCAUCGUGCUCUGCUUGGAAGCCGCCAUCAUGUUUCCAUGUGAGUCAUACGUCACUGCUUGUUUACAUCAGGACAGAGCAUGCGCAGACAGAACCCAGCCUGACAACUUUCCGAUUCACCGUUUACAUGACAGGAUUUUGCUUUUAAUCGGAAUGGGAAAAGGAAUAUUCUACCCCUGUGAAUCGGACUGAAAUUCCAUUCGGAAUGGGCCUGUUUAUUCCGAAUGAGGUGUUUAUGUGGAGCAUUUUCAUUCCGAUUGGGCUUCUAAUCCGAUUAUAUUCGGAAUAUUUGGCUCCAUGUAAACGUAGCUACUGUCUGCACGGUGCAGCCCCACCUACCUCACCGAACUCCUCACCCCACCUACCUCAGCCAGAACCCCGUCAGGCCAACUGCACCGUCUGUGCCCGCCCAGGACUCGGCUCAAGACCAUGGGUGACAGGGCCUUCGAGGCUGCUGCUCCCCGUCUGUGGAACGCCCUCCCCGGUCACCUCAGGGCUCCACAGUCGGUGGAUGCUUUUUAAAAAGGACUCAAAACCUUCCUCUUUCGGAAAGCCUACCCGGACUAAUUUUAUCUGAUUUUAUCUGCUGACUGUUUUUAUUGUUUUGCCCUGUUGCUUCUUUUUUACUGUUAUUGUUGUCUUUUUAUUUUUUUUUCUGUUUUCGUUGUGCACUUUGAGAUUUGUUUUCAAAUGUAAAGUGCGUUACAAAUAAAAUCUAUUAUUAUUAUUAUUAUGGUGAGGCCUGAUAAACACACUCACCCCUCUCUUUAUCACUGUUAUAAGUCUAUCCAAUUAUCUAAAUGUGGUCAUCAUUGGGGUCGUUGUGCACACGCAGCAGUGAUACUGGUUUGAAAUGGUCUACAGAGCAAAAGCACCUGACUGGAUUUCUGUAGCUUUGUGGUGAAAAAAAGCAGUUCCUCAAGUGUCCACUUGAGACUGUUUCCAAAGCCUAAAGAAACCUCAUCAGAUCCCA